AUGAACGCUAGCUACAGGCUUAACACAUGCAAGUCGAGGGGCAGCAUGGUCUUAGCUUGCUAAGGCCGAUGGCGACCGGCGCACGGGUGAGUAACACGUAUCCAACCUGCCGUCUACUCUUGGACAGCCUUCUGAAAGGAAGAUUAAUACAAGAUGGCAUCAUGAGUCCGCAUGUUCACAUGAUUAAAGGUAUUCCGGUAGACGAUGGGGAUGCGUUCCAUUAGAUAGUAGGCGGGGUAACGGCCCACCUAGUCUUCGAUGGAUAGGGGUUCUGAGAGGAAGGUCCCCCACAUUGGAACUGAGACACGGUCCAAACUCCUACGGGAGGCAGCAGUGAGGAAUAUUGGUCAAUGGGCGAGAGCCUGAACCAGCCAAGUAGCGUGAAGGAUGACUGCCCUAUGGGUUGUAAACUUCUUUUAUAAAGGAAUAAAGUCGGGUAUGGAUACCCGUUUGCAUGUACUUUAUGAAUAAGGAUCGGCUAACUCCGUGCCAGCAGCCGCGGUAAUACGGAGGAUCCGAGCGUUAUCCGGAUUUAUUGGGUUUAAAGGGAGCGUAGAUGGAUGUUUAAGUCAGUUGUGAAAGUUUGCGGCUCAACCGUAAAAUUGCAGUUGAUACUGGAUAUCUUGAGUGCAGUUGAGGCAGGCGGAAUUCGUGGUGUAGCGGUGAAAUGCUUAGAUAUCACGAAGAACUCCGAUUGCGAAGGCAGCCUGCUAAGCUGCAACUGACAUUGAGGCUCGAAAGUGUGGGUAUCAAACAGGAUUAGAUACCCUGGUAGUCCACACGGUAAACGAUGAAUACUCGCUGUUUGCGAUAUACUGCAAGCGGCCAAGCGAAAGCGUUAAGUAUUCCACCUGGGGAGUACGCCGGCAACGGUGAAACUCAAAGGAAUUGACGGGGGCCCGCACAAGCGGAGGAACAUGUGGUUUAAUUCGAUGAUACGCGAGGAACCUUACCCGGGCUUAAAUUGCAGAUGAAUUACGGAGAAAGCCGUAAGCCGCAAGGCAUCUGUGAAGGUGCUGCAUGGUUGUCGUCAGCUCGUGCCGUGAGGUGUCGGCUUAAGUGCCAUAACGAGCGCAACCCUUGUUGUCAGUUACUAACAGGUUCCGCUGAGGACUCUGACAAGACUGCCAUCGUAAGAUGUGAGGAAGGUGGGGAUGACGUCAAAUCAGCACGGCCCUUACGUCCGGGGCUACACACGUGUUACAAUGGGGGGUACAGAGGGCCGCUACCACGCGAGUGGAUGCCAAUCCCAAAAACCUCUCUCAGUUCGGACUGGAGUCUGCAACCCGACUCCACGAAGCUGGAUUCGCUAGUAAUCGCGCAUCAGCCACGGCGCGGUGAAUACGUUCCCGGGCCUUGUACACACCGCCCGUCAAGCCAUGGGAGCCGGGGGUACCUGAAGUGCGUAACCGCGAGGAGCGCCCUAGGGUAAAACUGGUGACUGGGGCU
rnacentral:rRNA from 1 species